rnacentral:rRNA from 1 species
UACGUAGGGGGCAAGCGUUGUCCGGAAUUAUUGGGCGUAAAGCGCGCGCAGGCGGCUGUUUAAGUCUGGUGUUUAAGCCCGGGGCUCAACCCCGGAUCGCACCGGAAACUGGGCAGCUUGAGUGCAGGAGAGGGAAGCGGAAUUCCACGUGUAGCGGUGAAAUGCGUAGAGAUGUGGAGGAACACCAGUGGCGAAGGCGGCUUUCUGGCCUGCAACUGACGCUGAGGCGCGAAAGCGUGGGGAGCAAACAGG